rnacentral:rRNA from 1 species
AGAGUUUGAUCCUGGCUCAGGACGAACGCUGGCGGCGUGCUUAACACAUGCAAGUCGAGCGAGGCCCUCCUUCGGGGGGUGCCCUAGCGGCGAACGGGUGAGUAACACGUGGGCAACCUGCCCUCAGCUCUGGGAUAACUCCAAGAAAUUGGUGCUAAUACCGGAUGUGACCGCUGCCGCAUGGUCUGGUGGUGGAAAGAUUCAUCGGCUGAGGAUGGGCCCGCGGCCUAUCAGCUUGUUGGUGGGGUGAUGGCCUACCAAGGCGACGACGGGUAGCCGGCCUGAGAGGGUGACCGGCCACACUGGGACUGAGACACGGCCCAGACUCCUACGGGAGGCAGCAGUGGGGAAUAUUGCGCAAUGGGCGAAAGCCUGACGCAGCGACGCCGCGUGAGGGAUGACGGCCUUCGGGUUGUAAACCUCUUUCAGUAGGGACGAAGCGCAAGUGACGGUACCUACAGAAGAAGCACCGGCCAACUACGUGCCAGCAGCCGCGGUAAUACGUAGGGUGCAAGCGUUGUCCGGAAUUAUUGGGCGUAAAGAGCUCGUAGGCGGUUGGUCGCGUCGGCUGUGAAAACCCGGAGCUCAACUCCGGGCCUGCAGUCGAUACGGGCCGACUUGAGUGUUGCAGGGGAGACUGGAAUUCCUGGUGUAGCGGUGAAAUGCGCAGAUAUCAGGAGGAACACCGGUGGCGAAGGCGGGUCUCUGGGCAACAACUGACGCUGAGGAGCGAAAGCGUGGGGAGCGAACAGGAUUAGAUACCCUAGUAGUCC